rnacentral:rRNA from 1 species
UACGUAGGGCGCAAGCGUUGUCCGGAAUUAUUGGGCGUAAAGAGCUCGUAGGCGGCUUGUCACGUCGGUUGUGAAAGCCCGGGGCUUAACCCCGGGUCUGCAGUCGAUACGGGCAGGCUAGAGUGUGGUAGGGGAGAUCGGAAUUCCUGGUGUAGCGGUGAAAUGCGCAGAUAUCAGGAGGAACACCGAUGGCGAAGGCAGGUCUCUGGGCUGAUACUGACGCUCAUGCACGAAAGCGUGGGGAGCAAACAGG